UGAAAAUAAAAGGGGAGCUUGCAUAAGCUUGCUGAGAGUAGGUUGUAUACCUUGACCCAUAACCUGAUUUGGAUAAUGCCAACGUAGGAACAUAAUUAUAGCAGAUU
rnacentral:ncRNA from 2 species